GACGAACGCUGGCGGCGUGCUUAACACAUGCAAGUCGAACGGAAAGGCCCUGCUUUUGUGGGGUGCUCGAGUGGCGAACGGGUGAGUAACACGUGAGUAACCUGCCCUUGACUUUGGGAUAACUUCAGGAAACUGGGGUUAAUACCGGAUAGGAGCUCCUGCUGCAUGGUGGGGGUUGGAAAGUUUCGGCGGUUGGGGAUGGACUCGCGGCUUAUCAGCUUGUUGGUGGGGUAGUGGCUUACCAAGGCUUUGACGGGUAGCCGGCCUGAGAGGGUGACCGGCCACAUUGGGACUGAGAUACGGCCCGGACUCCUACGGGAGGCAGCAGUGGGGAAUGUUGCACAAUGGGCGGAAGCCUGAUGCAGCAACGCCGCGUGCGGGAUGACGGCCUUCGGGUGGUAAACCGCUUUCGCCUGUGACGAAGCGUGAGUGACGGUAAUGGGUAAAGAAGCACCGGCUAACUACGUG
rnacentral:rRNA from 1 species